AAACAAGCGACGCCUCCCCUCGGCCNGCCCGGCGUCCGGCCUCGAAGCGGAGGGCUUGUCCUCGGCGCCUAUUGGUGUGCGGCAGAGGUGAAACGAGGACGGCGGAGGCGGUCCGGCGGCGCCGACACAGCGGGGCGAGCGGAGAUCGAAGAGCGGAACGUGGGCUCGCUCGCUGCCGACGAGGGAGGACGGCGGAGCUGUCGCUUGCCCAGCCGCACGCACCCAGCGCUGCCGCCGGGACGGGCGGGACGGGCGACGGCGCAGAGCCGAGGUAGAAGCGCCGCAAGCAGGCAGACGUGGNUUUUAAGAAGGACAUAUGUACUGAUGCUGUUCAGAAAGACAAUCAAGACAUGGAUUAUUAACGAGGGCACCAUUUCUGGGCAUGGACAAAGCAGGCCUUGCACAGGAGGAGAAUGAUCUUUGAUGACUGGUGCCAACCUCUCAAGAAGAAAGUUAAAAGUGCAGAACCUCAAGCUCUUAAAGAGUUUGGCAACAGUAGCAGUUGGAAAAUAUCUUGGAUAUGCGAAUAAACAG
rnacentral:lncRNA from 1 species